UAGCGCUUAUGGGGUAGUGACCCCGCCAGCGCCUAACCACCAACUGCCUGCAAAGGAGGCAAUCAAUGGCUAC
rnacentral:antisense_RNA from 13 species